rnacentral:rRNA from 1 species
GACGAACGCUGGCGGCGUGCUUAACACAUGCAAGUCGAACGAUGACGACCGAGCUUGCUCGGUCUGAUUAGUGGCGAACGGGUGAGUAACACGUGAGCAACCUGCCCUUAACUUUGGGAUAACCCGGGGAAAUCGGGGCAAAUACGGGAAAUGAGCUCCUGCCGCAGGGGGGGGGUUGGAAAGUUUUUCGGUGAAGGAUGGGCUCGCGGCCUAUCAGUUUGUUGGUGAGGUAGUGGCUCACCAAGGCGAUGACGGGUAGCCGGCCUGAGAGGGCGACCGGCCACACUGGGACUGAGACACGGCCCAGACUCCUACGGGAGGCAGCAGUGGGGAAUAUUGCACAAUGGGCGAAAGCCUGAUGCAGCGACGCCGCGUGAGGGAUGACGGCCUUCGGGUUGUAAACCUCUUUCAGCAGGGAAGAAGCGAAAGUGACGGUACCUGCAGAAGAAGCGCCGGCUAACUACGUG